rnacentral:rRNA from 1 species
AUUGAACGCUGGCGGCAUGCCUUACACAUGCAAGUCGAACGGCAGCACGGGUGCUUGCACCUGGUGGCGAGUGGCGAACGGGUGAGUAAUGCAUCGGAACGUAUCCGGAAGUGGGGGAUAACGUAGCGAAAGUUACGCUAAUACCGCAUAUUCUGUGAGCAGGAAAGCAGGGGACCGCAAGGCCUUGCGCUUUCAGAGCGGCCGAUGUCGGAUUAGCUAGUUGGUGGGGUAAAGGCCUACCAAGGCGACGAUCCGUAGCGGGUCUGAGAGGAUGAUCCGCCACACUGGGACUGAGACACGGCCCAGACUCCUACGGGAGGCAGCAGUGGGGAAUUUUGGACAAUGGGCGCAAGCCUGAUCCAGCCAUGCCGCGUGAGUGAAGAAGGCCUUCGGGUUGUAAAGCUCUUUCGGCGGGGAAGAAAUGGCAACGGCUAAUAUCCGUUGUUGAUGACGGUACCCGCAUAAGAAGCACCGGCUAACUACGUGCCAGCAGCCGCCGUAAAAC